CCAAUAGCGUAUAUUAAAGUUGUUGCAGUUAAAAAGCUCGUAGUUGAAUUUCGGGGCCAGUAGGUUGGUCGUGCCACUGGUAUGUACUGGCCUUACUGGUCCCUCCUUCUUGUAGAACCGUGAUGCCAUUAAUUUGGUGUUGCGGGGAAACAGGACUGUUACUUUGAAAAAAUUAGAGUGCUUAAAGCAGGCUCGCGCUUGAAUACAUUAGCAUGGAAUAACGGAAUAGGACGAUCGAACCUAUUUUGUUGGUUUCUAGGAUCGACGUAAUGAUUAAUAGGGAUAGUUGGGGGCAUUAGUAUUCAAUUGUCAGAGGUGAAAUUCUCGGAUUUAUUGAAGACUAACUACUGCGAAAGCAUUUGCCAAGGAUGUUUUCAUUAAUCAAGAACGAAAGUUAGGGGAUCGAAGACGAUCAGAUACCGUCGUAGUCUUAACCAUAAACUAUGCCGACUAGGGAUCGGAUGAAGUUAAUUUUUUAAUGACUCAUUCGGCGCCUUACG
rnacentral:rRNA from 1 species